rnacentral:rRNA from 1 species
CCUACGGGAGGCAGCAGUGGGAAAUCUUGCGCAAUGGGCGAAAGCCUGACGCAGCGCCGCCGCGUGAGGGAUGAAGGUCUUCGGAUCGUAAACCUCUGUCAGCAGGGAAGAACGGUCACUGUGCUAAUCAGCAGUGAAUUGACGGUACCUGCAAAGGAAGCACCGGCUAACUCCGUGCCAGCAGCCGCGGUAAUACGGAGGGUGCGAGCGUUAAUCGGAAUUACUGGGCGUAAAGCUCUCGUAAGCGGUAUGUCAAGUCAAGGGUGAACUCCCCGCGCUCAACGUGGGAACUGCCUUUGAAACUGGCAAACUGGAGUGUGUGAGAGGAUAGUGGAAUUCCAGGUGUAGGAGUGAACUCCGUAGAUAUCUGGAGGAACAUCAGUGGCGAAGGCGACUAUCUGGCACAUAACUGACGCUGAGGAGCGAAAGCGUGGGUAGCAAACAGGAUUAGAUACCCUGGUAGUC